AAAAAAAAGAGAAGAUUGGCCCGAUAUCCGCGUGCCAAUACACCGAUCAUGCUUAGGUGGCGAACACACGACGGAGCCUCGAAUCACAAUACAAGUCCGGCGGACGUUGUACGUGCUCCCACACCAGAUAGUACACACGCUCACAGUCUCGCAAAGAAGUGGACAGCCUGGCCCUGACACUCAGAAGCACCAUCAGUUAUACAGAGACCGCCGCGCGACUGAACCAGCUCGCACACCAUCUCACCGAAACGGUGACACCAACACCAUCGUCAUCUACCACCGCGAACCGUAACACAUGGCCGUGCGAGGGGCACCGCCUGGAUGGGGACGGUUUUUUAAAUCUAGCCAUCAAGGAUCCAUCCUGGCCUGGCUGAAUGCCCGCACCGGCACACAUCGAAAGCCAUCUAACGCGGUCGCGCGCGUAUUUGUCGGCUGCCCAUUAUCCUCGUCGAAAUUCAAUUACCGGUGCGGUCGUUGAUUCUAUUUUUGCGAGCACCUGUACUCGUUCAGCCUUAGUUUCUUACCUCGGACCAAACUACACGUUCUUCUGUCUUUUAGUUUCUUUACGCUCUUUAUUCUGCCUGACAGGUUAUCAAGCAUCGAGAAUGAGCGUGGAUCUUCUUGAAUUGAAUCAGAGAUACGUACUGUACGCCAAUUGGAUUGUUUUGGUAUUCGCCACUUAUACCGCUUUUGUCCUCGUUCUUCAGGCUUCAUCGUUCACUAAGCUUUCUUCAAGUACUGUAUAUUCAUUGAUCACGUAAUUACGGACUAUUGAUACGAUAUCGGGAUAACAAGUGCGAGGUUAAUCGAGAACCGAUCAACCGCACGGUGAAUUCUCGAAAGCCCGGCAUUGUUUAUCUCGCGAUUGGUAGACGCGAUUGAAAUCUUUCUCCCGCGCCACCUUUGUUCCCGACCUCUUUUGAUGCAGGGAUGUUCAUAGACAAGCUGCAACCGUCUCUUUAAAAGCGCGAAUCAACCUCGCGUUGAGACCUCAGACGACAUGACGUUGAUGCAAUUAAGAUCCCGCUUUUCGUCUCAUACCGAAAUCCAACUCAUCAUAAAUAAAUAAAUCUCAUCUUCUUUCUUCUUUUUUAUUAUCUUUCACGAUCCCUCUUGUACUUGGUACAAUAAAUAGUACUUAUAAAUAGUUAGUACUAAUAAAUUUUUUUCUACGAUACUAACAAAUUUAGUAAUAGAAGAAACUAAGUGUUGCGAAUUAUCAGCCAUUUGGUUAUUCUAUGUAACGUAACAUUGUAAAAUUGUAAAAGAGUCUAUUCUCUUCUUACUCUAAUGUUAUCAAUUAAUAAAUUAGUAUGUAAAAGCGGGAAAUAUGUUCUGCACGAACAUGUAUAUUUUCAAUAAAGUGAUUGAUAAGCCGUGUUUUUGAAACAGAGAAUUUAUUUGAAGUUCCGUGGAAAUAUCGCUGCGAAGAAUCGAAGUAUCGAACGAUCAUCUAUACGUUACAAAUUUAUUUAACACGAGUUAAAAUUUGAUAUUAAAUUCUUUUACAGUUAUAUUUACGAAUGCUUA